rnacentral:rRNA from 1 species
UACGUAGGGUGCAAGCGUUGUCCGGAAUUAUUGGGCGUAAAGAGCUCGUAGGCGGUUUGUCGCGUCGAAUGUGAAAACCCCGCGGCUUAACCGCGGGCCUGCAGUUGAUACGGGCAGGCUAGAGUUCGGUAGGGGAGACUGGAAUUCCUGGUGUAGCGGUGAAAAUGCGCAGAUAUCAGGAGGAACACCAAUUGCGAAGGCAGCUCGCUGGGACGUUACUGACGCUGAGACGCGAAAGCGUGGGGAGCAAACAGG